GCGGCUAUGGUGUAACGGCAGCACCUGUCCCUUCCAAGGAUACGGUGCCGGUUCGAAUCCGGCUAGCCGCUCCA
rnacentral:tRNA from 1 species